rnacentral:lncRNA from 1 species
ACUUCUGCCCCGCUCCCCCGCCAUCCUCCUACCCAAGUCGGGCCUGGCUUUCCUCUGGGCUGAGUUUGUCAAAUUCCUUGGCCACGUCUCGUCCCAGGAACGCCUCAUGGUCGUACUGGAAAUUCCCGUGGGCGUCAUCGUGGGGGGCCUCGCUCAGGGGGGUUCCAUGAUGGACCCUAUCCUGGCCAUGAGGUCCUGCAUCAGGGGAUGGCUUCCCGAGGGCCCAGUGCCUCAGCAGUAAGAGAAGCAACAGAAACGACCAUCGCCACAUCAUCGGUUCCUGAGGAGAGAACUGAGCUCAAUUCUCAGCACCAACUGGGCGACACUUAACCACCUAUAACUAACUCCAGCUGCAGACGACCUGAUCCUCCUUCUGGCAUCUGUGGUCACUUGCACCAUAUAUGUACACACACAUCCACAGAAAUUAACAAUAAAAUAAAUAUAGUCAGAAAAAGGUUU